rnacentral:rRNA from 1 species
GAUGAACGCUAGCUACAGGCUUAACACAUGCAAGUCGGGCGGCAGCGGGGUGGGAGCUUGCUCCCACUGCCGGCGAGCGGCGCACGGGUGAGUAACACGUAUGCAACCUGCCCCUGUCAGGGGGACAACCCGCCGAAAGGCGGGCUAAGCCCGCGUAUAUCUCCCCGGGGCAUCCCGGGGGGAGGAAAGGAGCGAUCCGGACAGGGAUGGGCAUGCGGCGCAUUAGCUGGUCGGCGGGGUAACGGCCCACCGAGGCGACGAUGCGUAGGGGUUCUGAGAGGAAGGCCCCCCACACUGGUACUGAGACACGGACCAG